rnacentral:rRNA from 1 species
GACGAACGCUGGCGGCGCGCCUAACACAUGCAAGUCGAACGAGGUCUUUUAGAAGCUUGCUUCUGGCUGACCUAGUGGCGGACGGGUGAGUAACACGUGAGCAACCUGCCCUACAGAGGGGGAUAACGUCUGGAAACGGACGCUAAUACCGCAUAACGUAUCGGAGUGGCAUCGCUCUGGUACCAAAGGAGAAAUCCGCUGUGGGAUGGGCUCGCGGCCGAUUGGGUAGUUGGUGAGGUAACGGCUCACCAAGUCGACGAUCGGUAGGCGGACUGGGAGGUAGAACGGCCACAUUGGGAAUGGAAUACGGCCCAGACUCCUACGGGAGGCAGCAGGGGGGAAUAUUGGGCAAUGGGCGCAAGCCUGACCCAGCAACGCCGCGUGGAGGAAGAAGGCUUUCGGGUUGUAGACUUCUUUGACCAGGGAAGAAACAAAUGACGGUACCUGGAAAACAAGCCACGGCUAACUACGUGCCAGCAGCCGCCGUAAUAC